rnacentral:tRNA from 1 species
GUGGAUGUAGCUCAGCUGGUUAGAGCACCAGGUUGUGGCCCUGGUGGCCGUGGGUUCGAAUCCCAUCAUCCACC